rnacentral:rRNA from 1 species
GGGGGCGAGCGUUAUCCGGAUUCAUUGGGCGUAAAGCGCGCGUAGGCGGCCUUCUAAGUCAGAAGUCAAAUGCGGGAGCUCAACUUCCGUCUGCUUUUGAUACUGGGAGGCUCGAGUCUGGUAGGGGAAGGUGGAAUUCCCAGUGUAGCGGUGGAAUGCGCAGAUAUUGGGAAGAACACCGGUGGCGAAGGCGGCCUUCUGGGCCACGACUGACGCUGAGGCGCGAAAGCUAGGGGAGC